rnacentral:rRNA from 1 species
CCAAUAGCGUAUAUUAAAGUUGUUGCAGUUAAAAAGCUCGUAGUUGAAUUUCGGGAUCAAUUAAUUGGUCGUGCCUCUGGUACGUACUGAUUUUAUUGGUUUCUCCCUUCUGACGAACCAUGAUGUCAUUAAUUUGAUGUCGUGGAGAAUCAGGACUGUUACUUUGAAAAAAUUAGAGUGUUUAAAGCAAGCUAACGCUUGAAUACAUUAGCAUGGAAUAAUGAAAUAGGACGUUUGAUCCUAUUUUGUUGGUUUCUAGGAUCGACGUAAUGAUUAAUAGGGAUAGUUGGGGGCAUUAGUAUUCAAUUGUCAGAGGUGAAAUUCUUGGAUUUAUUGAAGACUAACUACUGCGAAAGCAUUUGCCAAGGAUGUUUUCAUUAAUCAAGAACGAAAGUUAGGGGAUCGAGGACGAUCAGAUACCGUCGUAGUCUUAACCAUAAACUAUGCCGACUAGGGAUCGGAUGAUGUUAAUUUUUUAAUGACUCACUCGGCGCCUUACG